rnacentral:rRNA from 1 species
AUUGAACGCUGGCGGCAGGCUUAACACAUGCAAGUCGAGCGAGCGGCGGACGGGUGAGUAAUGUCUGGGAAACGGCCUGAUGGAGGGGGAAAACUACUGGAAACGGUAGCUAAUAACGCAUACCAGCAGAUGUGACCAGAUGGGUUUAGCGAGUUGGAGGGGUAAUGGCUCACCUAGGCGACGAUCCCUAGCUGGUCUGAGAGGAUGACCAGCCACACUGGAACGGAGACACGGUCCAGACUCCUACGGGAGGCAGCAGUGGGGAAUAUUGGACAAUGGGCGCAAGCCUGAUGCAGCCAUGCCGCGUGUGUGAAGAAGGCCUUCGGGUUGUAAAGCACUUUCAGCGAGGAGGCGUUACCCGCAGAAGAAGCACCGGCUAACUCCGUGCCAGCAGCCGCGGUAAUAC